rnacentral:rRNA from 1 species
UACGUAGGUGGCAAGCGUUAUCCGGAUUUAUUGGGCGUAAAGGGAACGCAGGCGGUCUUUUAAGUCUGAUGUGAAAGCCUUCGGCUUAACCGGAGUAGUGCAUUGGAAACUGGGAGACUUGAGUGCAGAAGAGGAGAGUGGAACUCCAUGUGUAACGGUGAAAUGCGUAGAUAUAUGGAGGAACACCGGUGGCGAAAGCGGCUCUCUGGCCCGUAACUGACACUGAGGCUCGAAAGCGUGGGGAGCAAACAGG